GGUGGAUGCUGGUAUGUGGGGUCCUUUUUCCGGGUCCCGUGUCGGAGCCAACGCGUUAAGCAUCCCGCCUGGGGAGUACGGCCGCAAGGCUAAAACUCAAAGAAAUUGACGGGGGCCCGCACAAGCGGCGGAGCAUGCGGAUUAAUUCGAUGCAACGCGAAGAACCUUACCUGGGCUUGACAUGUGCCGGACGCCCGUGGAAACGCGGGUUCCCUUCGGGGCCGGUUCACAGGUGGUGCAUGGUCGUCGUCAGCUCGUGUCGUGAGAUGUUGGGUUAAGUCCCGCAACGAGCGCAACCCUCGCCGCAUGUUGCCAGCACGUCGUGGUGGGAACUCAUGUGGGACCGCCGGGGUUAACUCGGAGGAAGGUGGGGAUGACGUCAGAUCAUCAUGCCCCUUACGUCCAGGGCUUCACGCAUGCUACAAUGGCCGGUACAACGCGAUGCGACACCGUGAGGUGGGGCGGAUCGCUGAAAACCGGUCUCAGUUCGGAUCGCAGUCUGCAACUCGACUGCGUGAAGGCGGAGUCGCUAGUAAUCGCAGAUCAGCAACGCUGCGGUGAAUGCGUUCCCGGGCCUUGUACACACCGCCCGUCAAGUCAUGAAAGUGGGCAGCACCCGAAGCCGGUGGCCGAACCCGCAUGGGGCGGAGCCGUCUAAGGUGAGGCUCGUGAUUGGGACUAAGUCGUAACAAGGUAGCCGUACCGGAAGGUGCGGCUGGAUCACCUCCUUU
rfam:Bifidobacterium cuniculi strain LMG 10738 Contig05, whole genome shotgun sequence.